AACGAACGCUGGCGGCAUGCCUAACACAUGCAAGUCGAACGAGACCUUCGGGUCUAGUGGCGCACGGGUGCGUAACGCGUGGGAACCUGCCCUUAGGUUCGGAAUAACUCCCUUAAAGGGGUGCUAAUACCGGAUAAUUUCUUCGGACCAAAGAUUUGUCGCGUUUGGAUGGGCCCGCGUUGGAUUAGCUAGUUGGGAGGGGAAAAGCCUACCAAGGCGACGAUACUUAGCUGGUCAGAGAGGAUGAUCAGCCACACUUGGAGUGAGACACGGCCCAGACUCGUACGGGAGGCAGCAGUGGGGAAUACUGGACGACGGGCGAAAGCCUGAUCCAGCUAUGCUGCGUGAGUGAUGAAGUCGUUAGGGAAGUAAAGCUCUUUUACCCGGGAUGGUAAUGACGGUACCGGGAGAAUAAGCUCCGGCUAACUCCGUG
rnacentral:rRNA from 1 species